UACAGAGGUCUCAAGCGUUGUUCGGAUUCAUUGGGCGUAAAGGGUGCGUAGGCGGCGCGGUAAGUCGGGUGUGAAAUCUUGGAGCUUAACUCCGAAACUGCAUUCGAUACUGCCGUGCUUGAGGACUGGAGAGGAGACUGGAAUUCCCGGUGUAGCGGUGAAAUGCGCAGAUAUCAGGAGGAACACCGGUGGCGAAGGCGGCUCACUGGCUCGGUUCGUGACGCUGAGGCGCGAAAGCGUGGGGAGCAAACAGG
rnacentral:rRNA from 1 species